UUUUUGAUGCAGGGGUAACUCUGCCGUAUUUCCUGUUAGAUGUUAUGUGCUGCAAUUUUCAUCUGUUAUGAAAUGCACGGAGACUACCAGUGCCCACCAGUGCAUGGGGAACGUGCCCCUGAGUGUGCCACGUGCCUCGGAAGCACCCUGAAGCUUUCACAGUGACUUUAGUUGAACAGAGAGACAGAGUAUGAUCACUGCGUGCCAAGCUAAAGCAGCUUUUCCUGGGUGAACCGUCAAUGAAAGCAUGCCCCGCAGUGCUGCUCUCCUCCGGACGGCUCCGCUGCUCUCGCCUCUCGAUGGAGGGAACGAGACUUCAGAGCCUGCGUCUUGCUGGUUACUGACCUGAGAACUGUCCAGAAGAACGUGAGACCAGAACUUGGCCACUCCAUAUCCUCGGUUCCUCCUGGAAUGGGGCGAGCACGGCACGUCGUGGGACCUGCUAAAAAAGCCUGAAGUAAUGGGACAAAGAAGAUGUCAAAAUAUUCCGCUUAAGAAAAAAUGUUCUGGGUUUUUUUUAUCCUUUUUGAGGUGACAGCAUUUUGACUUUUUGGAAGAAAAGGUUUAAAAUAUUUGCUCUUUGAAUGAAAUGAGUAACCCCUACAGAGAUUUUAGGCGUGUUUUGUUCUCUGACAAUAGAUGUAAUGAGAAGGAGGAGAUUUAUACCUUCUGCCUGUCUAUGAGAAAAAGCCACUGCUGAGCCUCACAAGAGCCUCUAUACUACAAAAGAUGGGGAAAUUAGAGGAAGGCUAGCAUGAAGUCCCGGUCGUCUCUUUCCUUUGGCCAAAAAAUCAGACUUUAAGUUUUUAAGUACUAAUUCUUUAACUUAAAAGUUGUUUCCCCCUCUACUGAUAGAACAAACACCUCACAAAAGCGAAGAAAUGCGUGCCGCCAAAUAAUGUCUCCAGCAGUCACCCCCACAGCCACAGGGAAUACUUGUGGCUUUUCAUACUGCUUUGAAUAGCUGGUCAGAGGAAAAGGAGGAAAUAAAAACUUGAUCUACUAAUAGCUCCUCUACUGCCCUGCUAACUGUCUGCUGCUGCUGCCUUCCUCACCUGCAAAUGUGCCAGAAAUAAUUAUGAAGUACCUUGAAGCAGCAUGUAAGAAGUCUGCCCAGAGAGGUGGGGGAGUCGCCAUCCCUGGAGAGGACCAGCCGGAGGCAGGCGAACCACUUCAGUCUGACGUAAGUCUAUUGAAGCCUCAAAGGGCACGUAAGGCCCUGUGCUGCUCCUUGCAGAGAGACGGUUUUUACUGCACGGCAUCGUGUCACCUCCCUUCCGGAGAAGUUAAUUGUGGUUAUACCGAAGGCCAAAUUAAUUUCAUCAUCAGCUUACAAAUCAAAGUUGGGUCAAUGAAGACUAUCAUACUACUUCAAAUAAUAAAAUCCCUUAUAAGGUGUAUGCUGCUGGUCACUACUGGAGAGUGGCUAAUGGCCUAGGCCAGACCUGACAGGGCCCUUCUCGUGGUCUGAACUACGAAGGUAGGAAUUCAUCUCACUUCAGUUGUCAGGAACCUACUGAAAGUCAGCUAACUACUGUAGUUAACAAACUAUCAUGGAAAAGGAAGGCCCUUAGGAAAAGAAAAAAUAUGAAAAGAAAAGAAAAAAACAAACCCUCUUCAAAAGUCUUUCCAUUACCUUAAGGUAUCAACUAUUAGAAAUUCUAUUUGAAAUACUUGUGUGGUUUUCGAAGGAGCAACAUUCAGCACCUGCUCCAUCUUGCCUCCUGGUAAAGCUUAGAUAAGAAGGGCUGUUCUCUAGACGUAUGA